ensembl:lncRNA
UUUUUUUAGAUGCAAGCGGCGUGUUCAGAUCAGUGACUUCAAACUAGGACUACACCAAUCAGGAUCAAUGGAGGAUGGACACCAAAAGGAAUUGCACAAGGAGAGUCUGACGUGGGAAAGGGACCUAAAUGGAUAUUCAAGAUGACCUUCAGACCUGUAAUGAGACGGCUCUUCCUACCUGGCUGGAUUGAUGGAGAGCCCUGUGGAUCUUGUCUUGCUCUCAGUUGCACGUCUUCUCAGGCUGAACUGUAUUAGUUUCGGACAGGACUAGCUGAACGAUUGGUUCCCUUAAAUCAGAAUCAAUCUGGGAACUCCAGCUAGUGCGCUCUUCGAGCUGAAGUUGUGCUCUUCAGCUGAGGAGGUAAGGAAACCUUCACUGGGGCUUCAAAGUGUAAAGAGGAGAAUGUUUCAAAGUGUUCCAUGGUACUCUGAUGAAGACCGUUGUUGUGUUCCACUGGCUGAGAGGAAGAACCCACACAUCUUCCUCUGGGCUUUCUCCUGAGAAUCCUGGCGCCAUCUUGAAGGAUAUUCCAGCUCAUGUAACUGAUGUCAUGACAGAUUCUCAAACACUUGGUUUCUCCUGAGGGGCGUGUCUAUGGAACUGAAGACUUCAGACAGCACUGUAUUCCAGCAUGCAUCUCUGCUCACUCAGACCACACCCCCAUGAGUAGGAUGCAACACUCUAGUGAUAGAGAUGUAGAGUUUUAUAAGUAAUGAGGGAGCAGACUAAGGUUAUUAGAACACAAUGGAAUGUCAAGUCUGUAAAUCUUUAAACCAUGAAGAUGGUUGAUAGUUCAGGAAUUGGGUUUUUUAUUAUUGGCAGUCCUUUUACUCGGAUGCCCACUUCUCACUGGAGCUGUACAUGUGUUGGCUGGCUGGCAUGAUUUGCUGUUGGUGAUGAGGCGGUCAGGGUAUGUUGCAGGGCUAUGGUCGGCUCUCUGUGAGCUCAACGUUUAGAUUUGCUCUGUAUGGUUUGUACCCUGAAUAAUCUAGAUAAUUGUAAAAUGUAGACACGGUUUUGUAUUGAAUGAUUCCAGGAUUUUAGGUUUAAAGUUGUUGUGGGACGUACAUGGUAGUUUGGUUCUUUGUAUGGUUUUGAGUGAUAACUUGUACACACUGGGUGCAUAAUAAUGUAAAGGUACACUGAAUAGUAAUGACCAACAGCAAAAAAACAGAUCUCCUCAAGGUAAGUCUGUUGGCUGUGUUUUAAUGAAGACCAUCGCUGGACUUCAGGAUCUUCCUCCGUUCAGCUCAAGGUGAGGCGCUGGUUCUGUUUUUUUCUUUGGUUGGUUCCGGCCGGAAUGUUUGGAUUCCAGUCGGACGGUUUGUGCUUCCCGCCGUGGAAGGUUCUGAGUGCGGUCACUUUAUUUAGUCCCAAUGGUUAGCAUAGAACAUUGUAGUCUUGACAACCAUGAGAAACCACCUGGCAGUUAGUUGGACGGGAGUCCCCUGAGGGAAUCUGGCGGAUCGUUCUUGAUUGUAUUUGCGUAACCUCGAGCCGUUGCCAACGGAAACUAUUUUGGUUUUACUAACUAUUGUCGGUUUCCAUUGGGAAUUGUUGCCCCUAUCUUAAACAACUUAAGUUUGAUAUUAAUUACAUACUGACGCGUACGUCGUACAAUAUGUUGAUAAUUUCCGAUGGUUGCGCCGUACUUUUAACCACGAUGACGUUGCGGGACUCUCACUGCGUACAAAACAGCGUUCUACUUGCGGGCCCAUUUUUGACAUCGGGGAAGGCUGAAAAUCAUUUCAAGGUGGAAGAUAAUUUGACAUUUCUUCAACGGAACCCAGCACCUGAAUAUGGCUGAGUAUAUUUGAUUUAAUAUCGAUACUGCUUAGUGUUCUUUGUUACUUCAGCUUUUGUACGUUCUAAAUAUCUGCUGUCAUUAAUUGCCACAGAAGUUAAACCCUACCCAAUGGAAUGACGUUAAACAACGACUUUGGUGCAGAGUUACCGACUGGAUAAUAUCAAAGCUAAAAUAAUGGCCGUAAUUCCCACAUGUUACAGUAGACGGGUAGUUUGUCCCAAGGUGUCUGCCUCCUCGCCCAGAGCCAGACCUCCGCCUCCUCGCCCAGAGCCAGACCUCCGCCUCCUCGCCCCGAGCCAGACCUCCGCCUCCUCGCCCAGAGCCAGACCUCCGCCUCCUCGCCCAGAGCCAGACCUCCUCCUCGCCCAGAGCCAGACCUCCACCUCCUCACCCAGAGCCAGACCUCCACCUCCUGUGGGAAGUCCUCCAGAACAGGCUGGGGACCGGAGGCUUGUGGUGCCAGGGUGGACCGGAGACUGAGGCUGGAGACCAGGGGCCUGCAGCACCGGACCAGAGGACCAGGAAUCCAUGGCUGAAGGAGCUGAUGGAGGAGCGGUACUGAAGGAGCUGAUGGAGUAGUCGUGCUGAAGGCCCUGCCUUGUGGAGGAGCUGGUGGAGGCCCUGCCUGAUGAAGGACGUCUGUCGUGGGACCAGGACUCUGUCUGAGGAGAGCUGAUGGAGGAGCUGAGACGCUGGAGGACGACUAGGAAUCGGCCAACAAGGAUUCCUCAACGUGUUUCUGGAGCGGAGGCGAGCUGGUAGAGGAGCCAUGAAUCUGGAGGAUGACCAUCACUCUACCAACAAGGAUUACCAGGACUCUGGCUGAGGAGAGCUGAUGGAGGAGCCAAGACUCUGGAGGAUGACAUCACUCCACCAACCAGGAUCCUCACCAGGAAUCUGGAGGACUGAUGGAGCAGCUGUACAUCUGGAAGGCAAAUCCUGAGGAUCACCAGGACUCUACCAUCAAGGAUGCCUCACACACCUGAGCUGAACCUCACCUGAUCCUGUGUGGUCGGGGGUAGACACACCUGAGCUAAACCCGCCCUGAUCCUGCCAGCCUGCUGGUCCCAUCUCCUCAGUUCAUCUGAGCCUCGUCCUCCAGAAGACCUGCUGAGCUCAGCUGUCUGAGGCUGAUGGAUCAAUGUGGGAGUGAUCUUCUUGACCCCACAUGUAACCGUGUGCUUCAACACGCCUUUCCCUCACGUCUGUCACUAACCUCACUACUUCACUACUCUCUACUGCUUCCUCUUUUCUUCCUUCUCUGUGGUUCGAACCUUUACACGGAAGGCGCGUCUUCCUGCCCUCAGAGGGUUUAGCGUUAGGGUUGAGAGUCAGGGUUUAGAGUCAGGGACAGAGCUGGUCAGGGAGGACUGCUUUUACACAAACCUCUUCACUUGCUUUCAGAAUGGUGGUGACAUUUUGAAAAGAUUCAUUUGGGAAAAUGUUUUCCUCUCGUUUCCUUGUGUUGAAUUGUAUUCAACUUCUGUCAAGUGUUUUUGUUUCUAUAUUAAAAGCCCGCAUUGACUUCUACAUAUUUGGUGCGGUUCAUUUAUUUGUCCUUUAACUUGGUUAAUGUCAAGCUAAACUCCUGC